rnacentral:rRNA from 1 species
GUAAUCGCGAAUCAGAAUGUCGCGGUGAAUACGUUCCCGGGUCUUGUACACACCGCCCGUCACACCAUGGGAGUCGGAAAUGCCCGAAGUCAGUGACCCAACCGUAAGGAGGGAGCUGCCGAAGGUGGAGCCGGUAACUGGGGUGAAGUCGUAACAAGGUAUC